rnacentral:lncRNA from 1 species
CUGGAAUUUUCAGAUGAAUCGGAUAAUCGGUUGUUGGGUUGCUGCUCCUGAAAUGGUAAUUUUAAGGAAAUUUUGCUGUUUUUGGUUAUUAUCUUGAAUAUUAUUAUAGAUAGAGAUAAACUGUAAACAGCAAUAAUGUUCAGCAAAGUAGGAUCUACAAAUAAGUCAACAUGUCCAAAAUGGUCAGUUGACCACUUAAGGAGUUAUUGCCCUUUAUAGUCAAUUUUUAACCAUUUUUCGUAAAUCUGAGUAAUCUUUUAGAAAAAUCUUCUCCUCUGAAACUACUGGGCCAAAUUUAACCAAACUUGGCCAUAAUCACCAUUGGGGUAUCUAGUUAAAAAAAUGUGUCCGGUGACC